CAGUGCUGCGGGCGGGGCGGGGCGGGGCGCGCGCACAGCGCCCUCAGUCACCGCGCUUCGUUAAGCGUGCGCUUAAUGGCAGGAGGAAGACUCGGAGCGGCUCAGCGCUGCGUUCGCCUCCGUCAUGAGUUUUAUGGCCCAAGCCACGAGGGAGUGCGAGAGCUACUACAGCCUCGUGCCGGCCUGCAGGCGCAGAGAGCACGAAGUGAAACACAUCUGCAGGUACCACGGCCGGCAAGCAGGAGGAGAAGAGCCCGAGCCCUCCUUAGACCGGAAGAGUGCAGCCUCUGCAGCACCCAGCCAAGCUGGAACUUGCCAGCACCGUACCAAGAAAGCUUCCAAAGACAUCUACAUCGAAGUCUCUCCUGGCAUUUAUUCUAUCACAGCAACCUCGGAGGACAUGGAGAAACAAACCCACGUGGUGGAUGUCAGUGCUGGACAAAGCAUUGAUUUAACUUUCGUGCUAUGACGUUUACCAUUUGCUGGCAAUCAUGGGAAUAAAAUACUAGGAUUUUUUAAAGCAGAUAAUUAACUACGUGUAACUAUUUCUCAUUAGCAUCUUAACACAAUCCUCCUCCUUUGGGAGUCCAUUUUUGUGGCCUGUAUAUUUAUUUGCUAACUUAAUGCAAUUGUAUGCAACCCACUUUGUACACUGAUUUUAUAAACUUUGUACAUUGUCUCUCUUAAUUCCAAUCACGUGACUAUGUAAUUGCAGGUUAUUAAACUCGAAACAAUUAAAGAUACAAUCAGUG
rnacentral:lncRNA from 7 species